UAUAUACAUAUAUAUUUAUACAUAUGCUCUAGUGAAUAUUAAGAUGUGUGCUCAUUGAAUUCAAUAAAAAUCGCAAAUAUUAAUGAGAUUUGUUGAUGCUGCAGCACGCCAAGGAAACAUUCGAAUUGUAUGUAUAAAAAUAAACCAAACAAAUCGGCGCCGACAUUUGCCACAGCUAGCAACAAGAGAGCAUCAGCAGAGAGAAAGAGAAAGAGAUAGUUAGCAAGCGAACAAGCGAGCAUCCGCCCAGAGUCCCCUUGUGCUCAAAUACUCCGCACACCCGCGCAUCGUAACGUGAAACGGCUCUGCUCUUUGGGCGUCAUCGAUAUUCGCGUAACCGUUUCGUUUGUUUACGCGAAGCGCGUGCAGACACACGACACACCCUGUGCGCACUCCAGCAAGGAGAGUCCUGCCCUUCCCACAUUGCGUGCGUGACUGGCUGAUACCCGGGCGUCCUAUCUAUCGAGCACACAGCAACGCCUAUUUACCGAAGACCGCUCCUGCAACGACAACGCGACAACGACAACAAAAUCAACAACAACAACGCGCCAUUGCCUGCCAGUUCCUCUUCCUUGUUCCAUUGGGAAGCAGCCAUUUGUGUUUUUCGUGACCAACAGCAUGAAAUGAGUGCCUCAUCAGAGUGCGAGACGGCAACGAAUCCAAGCGAAUUAUCAACGGCAGCAACCAAGGGCAACAGUUGAACGACAACAACAGCUUGAAGUGGAAGAAGAAGAAGAAGAACAACAACAA